AGUAAAGAAAGCAGCUUGCCAACUUGUUCAUCCAAUUGCUCUAAAUAAUCUCUUUCCAGGAAUCAAGUGAUUCAAGAGGCAGGGACUGUUGCUUCUUCAUUUCACUGUCUAAAGGAACCAUAUGUUACCAUUCUUAUUCAGAGGGGAACACUCCUGAGGAUCUUGAUUAAAGGCAACUCAUGCCACCAACGGUAUUUCUAUGAUCUACCUACUAUGGAGCUGAAAAGUAAAGAUGGAAAUAAGCCUAUCUACAAACAGGAUGCUCUCUAUCAAGAGUCAUGAGAAUUGUCUUCAGAGGGUGCUGAAGAGACAUCAACCUGUCUUCUUUGAGACUCCUAGUGUUGGUGUGGAAGAUGCUACUGGAGACAACAGGUUCCUCCAGGCCUGAUUGCUUGGUCAAUUGUGAUCCUUCCAUCAUCACCAUCUCAAUCCAGCAAGCAUUUCUGUGAUGUACCACCAUGCCACUCUCGCCACUGUCUGGGAGACACCUGAUUGCUAGAUGCCU
rnacentral:lncRNA from 1 species